rnacentral:rRNA from 1 species
UACGUAGGGCGCAAGCGUUAUCCGGAAUUAUUGGGCGUAAAGAGCUCGUAGGCGGUUUGUCGCGUCUGCCGUGAAAGUCCGGGGCUCAACUCCGGAUCUGCGGUGGGUACGGGCAGACUAGAGUGAUGUAGGGGAGACUGGAAUUCCUGGUGUAGCGGUGAAAUGCGUAGAUAUCAAGAGGAACACCUGCGGCGAAGGCGGGUUGCUGGGCCGACACUGACGCUGAGGCGCGAAAGCUAGGGGAGCGAACGGG